CCCUGAACAUGCCCGAUCUCAUCUGAUCUCUGAAGCUAAGCAGGGU
rnacentral:rRNA from 1 species